rnacentral:rRNA from 1 species
AGCGGCAACAGCUCAAAUUUGAAAUCUGGCCCCCAGGGCCCGAGUUGUAAUUUGCAGAGGAUGCUUUUGGUGAGGCACCUACCGAGUCCCCUGGAAUGGGGCGCCACAGAGGGUGAGAGCCCCGUAUGGUAGGACGCCGAACCUCUGUAAAGCUCCUUCGACGAGUCGAGUAGUUUGGGAAUGCUGCUCUAAAUGGGAGGUAAAUUUCUUCUAAAGCUAAAUACCGGCCAGAGACCGAUAGCGCACAAGUAGAGUGAUCGAAAGAUGAAAAGCACUUUGAAAAGAGGGUUAAAAAGUACGUGAAAUUGUUGAAAGGGAAGCGCUUGUGACCAGACUUGCGCCUGGCGGAUCAUCCAGCGUUCUCGCUGGUGCACUCCGCCAGGCUCAGGCCAGCAUCGGUUCUCGCCGGGGGACAAAGGCUUCGGGAACGUGGCUCCUUUCGGGGAGUGUUAUAGCCCGUCGCGUAAUACCCCGGCGGGGACCGACGACCGCGCUUCGGCAAGGAUGCUGGCGUAAUGGUCAUCAGCGACCCGUCUUGAAACACGGACCGAGGAGUCAAGCAUUAGUGCGAGUGUUUGGGUGUAAAACCCGCACGCGUAAUGAAAGUGAACGUAGGUGAGAGCUUCGGCGCAUCAUCGACCGAUCCUGAUGUUUUCGGAAGGAUUUGAGUAGGAGCAUUAACGCUUGGACCCGAAAGAUGGUGAACUAUACUUGAAUAGGGUGAAGCCA